CUACGGCGGCUGCAGUGGGGAAUAUUGCACAAUGGGCGCAAGCCUGAUGCAGCCAUGCCGCGUGUAUGAAGAAGGCCUUCGGGUUGUAAAGUACUUUCAGCGGGGAGGAAGGGAGUAAAGUUAAUACCUUUGCUCAUUGACGUUACCCGCAGAAGAAGCACCGGCUAACUCCGUGCCAGCAGCCGCGGUAAUACGGAGGGUGCAAGCGUUAAUCGGAAUUACUGGGCGUAAAGCGCACGCAGGCGGUUUGUUAAGUCAGAUGUGAAAUCCCCGGGCUCAACCUGGGAACUGCAUCUGAUACUGGCAAGCUCGAGUCUCGUAGAGGGGGGUAGAAUUCCAGGUGUAGCGGUGAAAUGCGUAGAGAUCUGGAGGAAUACCGGUGGCGAAGGCGGCCCCCUGGACGAAGACUGACGCUCAGGUGCGAAAGCGUGGGGAGCAAACAGGAUUAGAUACCCGAGUAGUC
rnacentral:rRNA from 1 species